AUGCAGGAGAACGUGGAAGGGGCAGAGGCAGAGGUAGAGGCAGAGGCAAGGGGGAGAGGAAGAGGACGAAGUGAACAACGAGAAAAAGGGUGCUGGAACUGCGGAAAAGAGGGACAUUGGUAUCGUAAUUGUCCUGAGGGACCGAGAGCUGAGGAGGCGUCCAGCGAAGUGACAGCACAGCACACGAUGAGUAUCAAUCCUUUCUCUUUGCGCAACGAAGUAUCUGCUUUUUCUAACUGUAACUAUGCUGAAAGGGAAAUGUUAGUUAGCACAGAUGAAAUUAUGUGUGUGUAUAAUCAGCCAUACGUAACCAGCCCAGAAAUAAAAAUGUUAGUAGAAGGGAAACCAUUGCGGUUUCUGGUAGACACUGGCGCGACAAGAUCGUGCAUAUCACUAAAACAGGAGAAAUCAGAUCAAUUUAGGGAGUCAGACUGUGUGAUUUACGCAACCACUGCGUCUGGAAAAGUCAUAUCAGACAAAUUAUCGGUUCCAUUGCAAUGUAUAUACGAUAAUCAAUGCUUCGCGCUGCCAUUUGCAUUAUCAGAAGAAUGCCCCUUUAAUCUGCUGGGCAGAGAUGCUUUGUGUAAAAUGAAAAUGAUGAUUGUGUGUGAUGAGGAGAGUGGUGUGACAUGUGAAGCAUGGCGCUUGCUGAGAGAGAGUGAGGAUCUGUAUGUGUAUAUGUGGUUACUGACUGAAAGUGAAACACUAAGAAACGUAGCAAAAGGGUGUAUGAGAGAAGGCUCUGAUUUUCAGAGCGAAGGCGAAUUGCAUGUUACAGCUCAUGUUAGUGUGGGCCAAGAUGUCCCAUACGAAGAGGUCUGGUCAGGAGACGUCACUGACCAAAUCUCAUGUACAGAGGUCUAUUGGGAUGACAAACAUUGUGCAGGCAAAAUUAAAUUAGAAACUGGGAUGUGUUUGUUUGAUGUGGCUGAUUCCUUCCCACAUGUGUCGUUGGCAAAAAGCCCAGACAUAGAGUGGAAAGACAAUGGUCCAUUUUUGAAAAGCUGUGUUGAAAGCAAAAGCUGGCAAGCACAUUUAGAAGGUUGUUUUUAUAACCCCGAGCUAAAGGCUUGGAAACAGGCGGUCAAACCACAAACAUGGUUGGGACUGCGUUCGAUUAGAAUAAUUAGAGACUGCCAGCUGCCAAACACAGCUUGUCAAACAAAAGUUGUCUCUAACAGUAUUUUUAUUGUUAAUUUUUACAGUUUGGGUCUCGUCUUCAAUUAUUUUGUUUCAGCAAUUUUACUAUAUGCCGAUCAAAAAUAAACACAAGUGAAAGUACAUCUGAUUGCUGAUUGGACAAGGUAUUAUUAUUGGACAAUCUGAGGUACUAUCAUGUUAGCUAAAAUAGUGCUGGAUGAUUAUGUGCCAAAGUUUAAUACUUAAGGCCUUAGGGUUUGUUUGAAUCACUAACCCUAAGAAUGAGCAGUUAUGACAGGGAUGCUUAGAAAGCACAGCUAAUCACUGGUUAUUAAGUACAAUCAUCUUACUUCAUGA
rnacentral:lncRNA from 1 species